UAGCAGGACCCCAAGUGGUAGUCGUUAUUAUUGGGCUUAAAGUGUUCGUAGCCUGCCAUGCAAGUCCGCUGUGAAAUCCACGCGCUCAACGUGUGGGCGUGCAGCGGAUACUGUAUGGCUAGGGACCGGACGGCGUUGAGGCUAUUCCCGGGGUAGGAGUGAAAUCCUAAAAUCCUGGGAGGAGCACCUGUGGCGAAAGCGCUCAACGAGUACGGAUCCGACGGUGAGGAACGAAAGCCAGGGGAGCAAAGCGG
rnacentral:rRNA from 1 species